rnacentral:ncRNA from 1 species
AGAGAGUAUGAUCACAAGACUGAAACUUAAAGAAAUUGAUGAAAGAGCAUCACAAGGUGUGAAGCCUGCGGCUUAAUUUGACUCAACACAGGGAAACUCAUCAGAUUCAGACAAAAUAAGAAUUGACAGAUUAAGAGCUCUUUCUUGAUCUUUUAAAUGAUGAUGUAUGACUGUUCUUAGUUAAUGAAGUGAUUUAUCUACUUAAUUAUGAUAAUGAAUGAGAUCUUAACCUGCUAAAUAGCUCAGCUCACAUUUGCAGACUGCUCACUUCUUAGAGAGACUAUCAGCUCAAGCUAAUAAAAGUUUGAAAUAGUAACAGAUCUGUGAUACUCUUAGAUAUUCUGAGCCGCACAUGCGCUACACUGACAGGGUCAGUAAGUACAUUAUCUUGACUGAGAGAUCUGAAUAAUCUUGUUAAACUCUGUUAUGCUGAGAAUAGAGUAUUACAAUUAUUGCUCUUCAAUGAGAAAUGCCUAGUAGAUAUAAGUCAUCAGCUUGUACUGAUUAUGUCUCUACUCUUUGUACACAUCACUCAUUGCUACUACUGAUUGAAUGGCUCAGUGAGGUCUUUAGACUGACUCAGAGAGAUUAGCAAUAACUGCUCAGAGCUGAAAAGUUAGUUAAACUUAAUUAUUUAAAGAAAGUAAAAGUUGUAACAAGGUUUCUGUAGAUGAAUCUAUGAAAG